rnacentral:snRNA from 1 species
AGCUUUGCGCAGUGGCAGUGUCGUAGCCAAUGAGGUUUAUCCGAGGCGCGAUUAUUGCUAAUUGAAAACUUUUCCCAAAAUUUAUUUAACACUAAACUGACCACUUUAAAGGGACUAGUUCAGUGAGUAACACUUAGUGAACUUACAGUGUUUGUG